rnacentral:rRNA from 1 species
UACGUAGGGGCCGAGCGUUGUCCGGAAUUAUUGGGCGUAAAGCGCGCGCAGGUGGUUUCUUAAGUCUGAUGUGAAAGCCCACGGCUCAACCGUGGAGGGUCAUUGGAAACUGGGAGACUUGAGUGCAGAAGAGGAAAGUGGAAUUCCAUGUGUAGCGGUGAAAUGCGUAGAGAUAUGGAGGAACACCAGUGGCGAAGGCGACUUUCUGGUCUGUAACUGACACUGAGGCGCGAAAAGCGUGGGGAGCAAACAGG